CAAUCUCCGCGAUUAACUGAAAACAGUUAUUCGUAUCGUGCCCAUGGCUCCGGUGGUACUGACAAUACUUGUCAGGAUUUCUUUGAUCUGCUUCCGACUUCAUGGGUUUGGGCCACUGGAGGAACUCCUUAUCCUGGACUGCCAUGAGCACUUCGGCUCUGGAAGCGUUGAGGGGGGUUGGUUUCUCGGGAACCCAAGGAGGGAGCACUCUUGGUUCAAGAGCCCGAGGAGGAGGAGGAGGCCUUUGAUCCCUU
rnacentral:lncRNA from 1 species